rnacentral:rRNA from 1 species
GAUGAACGCUGGCGGCGUGCCUAAUACAUGCAAGUCGAGCGAACGGACGAGAUUCUUUCUUCUGUGAUGGUAGCGGGGGACGGGUGAGUAACACGGGGAUAACCUACAUAUGGGACUGGGAUAAGUUCGCUCAACCGGAUCUAAUACCGGAUCAUGUUUUGAACCGCAUGGUUCAAAAGUUUAAGACGGUCUUGCUGUCACUUACAGAUGGAUCGGCGCUGGAUUAGCUAGUUGGUAAGGUAACGGCUUACCAAGGCAACGAUGCAUAGGCGACCUGAGAGGGUGAUCGGCCACACUGGAACUGAGACACGGUCCAGACUCCUACGGGAGGCAGCAGUGGGGAAUCUUGCGCAAUGGGCGCAAGCCUGACGGAGCAACGGCGCGUGAGUGAUGAAGGUGUUCGGGUCGUAAAACUCUGUUAUUAGGGAAGAACAUAUGUGUAAGUAACUGUGCACAUCUUGACGGUAACUAAUCAGAAAGCCACGGCUAACUACGUG